AUGUACCACUCGCACACUCCGGUUCCUUCGCGCCGUCCGCGCGCCCCUGUUAACUGCUCGCUACGUGUUGUUAGCU
rnacentral:sRNA from 2 species